rnacentral:RNase_P_RNA from 1 species
UUGGACGUCCGCUCAUUUGCGCACAGGUAAGGGUGAAAAGGUGCGGUAAGAGCGCACCGGCGUCGUGGUGACACGGCGGCCAGGUAAACCCCACCGGAUGCAAGACCAAGCAGAGCCGUUUGCAGGCUGCCCGCCAAGGCUCAGGUAGGUCGCAAAGAUGGAUGACUGUCCACGACAGAAUCCGGCUUACCGGCGUACUAAGGGA